UAGGGAAUCUUCCGCAAUGGACGCAAGUCUGACGGAGCAACGCCGCGUGAGUGAAGAAGGAUUUCGGUUCGUAAAACUCUGUUGUUAGAGAAGAACAGCGCAUAGAGUAACUGUUAUGCGUGUGACGGUAUCUAACCAGAAAGCCACGGCUAACUACGUGCCAGCAGCCGCGGUAAUACGUAGGUGGCAAGCGUUGUCCGGAUUUAUUGGGCGUAAAGCGAGCGCAGGCGGUCAAUUAAGUCUGAUGUGAAAGCCCCCGGCUCAACCGGGGGGGGUCAUUGGAAACUGGUUGACUUGAGGGCAGAGGAGGAGAGUGGAAUUCCAUGUGUAGCGGUGAAAUGCGUAGAUAUAUGGAGGAACACCAGUGGCGAAGGCGACUCUCUGGUCUGUAACUGACGCUGAGGCUCGAAAGCGUGGGUAGCAAACAGG
rnacentral:rRNA from 1 species